rnacentral:tRNA from 1 species
GGGCAGAUGGCUGAGUGGUCGAUAGCUGCGGUCUUGAAAACCGCCGAGGGGCAACUCUCCGGGGGUUCGAAUCCCUCUCUGCCCGCCA